rnacentral:lncRNA from 1 species
CCAUGUAAUUUUCCAAGUAGUGCCCUCUGAACACGUGGUAGCUGGUCCAGUCAGCUGAUUCUGGUCAUAUCAGCGUUUUUGUGUGACAUGGCCAUAUUGAGGAUUGAAACCAAAGUCAUUUGAAAUUAAAAGGGUAAUUUGAAAGGAAAUUUUUUCUAGGGACUAAAAUUUAAAUUCGCUAACAUUACCAAACACACAUUUUACCCUUAAUAGAAUCUCUCAAUCCAACAAACAUCAUCUACUAUUGCCUCCUCAUAAGUAUGCACAUUCAUCUAAUUCCUUCAAUCUUUGCUAUUGGAAAAAGUAACCAUAUCAGAAGAAGUAGAAGGGCUAUUUUGAGAAUAAAGAACGAGAAUUUGAUUUCUUUCCACGAACCUGAUGUUUUUUUCACUUUUACCAAAGCCAAUAACACAGUCCUUUCGUCAAAAAGAAAAUGGUCAUCAUCGUCAUCGAAGUGAGUCUAGCAACAAAUUGAGGUGUUUUAAAAUCAUUUUUUCAAUUUGGACUUCUUUUGCUCUAUAUUUUCCUGUGCCCAAUUUACUACCUGCACCCCAUGACCCCAUGUGUAAUCUUUGUACCACCCAGACUUUCCAAUACUACCUCAAUACCAUUAACACACCCCACAUCCGAAGUUACACCGCCCCACACUCGGUCAGCUAACUUCACCUCCCUUGCACCCCCGACGCCUAUGUCUGGGCCUGAAAUGUGCAACCCAUUUACUGACCCACAGCCCUCACUCACCCCUUCACUUGCUGAACCCCCACCUUCACCUUAUCCCCCAACAUGUUUCUACUUCCAUCUCUAAGCCCAAUAAUACUAUCCACAUCUUCUUUCUCGCCACACACCCCACUUCCAUAUUAUUAUUAACAUUAGCACAAAAUCNNNNNNNNNNNNNNNNNNNNNNNNNUAUUUUAUUUCGUCAUCCUCCUCCCAAGUUUGUUAACAUACGAGAAGUGAAAUGGAAAAUCGAGUGAUGAUAUAAGAAGAGAGUGAAUAUGACAAGAUGGAUUCCAAAAACACGCAUGCUUAUUUUAUUAAAAAUACUAGUCAAGAGUACAAAUUUAAAAACAAACAAUUCUUAGCAAGAAAGAAACUACAACUGAAAAUAGCAAGCCUAAUGACUCUCAGGAUGAGCCUCCUUGUUGACCCAUCGACUUUGAAGAUGNAUUCUCGGACUUGUCAGGGUGAAAGGGGUGACCAUUUAAGAGCGAGAUUCCUUCUUGAAAGACAACAACUUGCGGUCGAUGAGUUCUUGCACCUUGUACUUGAAAGCCCUACAGUCACCGAAGUUUUUUUCAAGGGUAAAAUUGGAAAUUCAGGGGUAUAAAAGAAUCACGGGGGGUGGGGAGAGAAAACAUCUCUUCUUUCUCGCCACACACCCCACUUCCAUAUUAUUAUUAACAUUAGCACAAAAUCACACUCUCUCCUCCUCAUUAAAGUCAUAUGUCUCCUUUAAAAAAAAUCAACAUUCCAUGCGUGAAUAGGAAUACUAAAAAUUCUCACCCAAACACAACGUUCUUGCAUCACCCUCUAAAACAUUCCAACAACUAAUAAAAGCAACAAAAAAUCCUUUGAACCCAACCUGAACAUAUCCUCUUUUUUAUCACUAAACAAAAAACAUUCUUCCCAUCCAAGUAUGCUACUCGAAUGUAAUUAAAAUCAGCUCCCAACAUAAAACAUUGCAAAGAUGGAAGCAUUUCAACAUAUGCACCUCCCCUACCACCCCUCG